GCCAGAAUAGUGUGGUGGUUUGAGCAUUGGACUGGAACUCUGGAGACCAGGGUUGGAAUCCCUUUUUGGCU